rnacentral:rRNA from 1 species
GAUGAACGCUAGCGACAGGCCUAACACAUGCAAGUCGAGGGGCAGCGGGGGGCGGAAGCUUGCUUUGUCCUGCCGGCGACCGGCGCACGGGUGAGUAACACGUAUGGAACCUGCCCGCCACAGGGGGAGUAACCGGUAGAAAUGCCGACUAAUACCCCGUACUGCCCACCAGGGGCGGCAUGCCCUCGGUGGGGAAACGAAUUCAUGGGUGGCGGAUGGCCAUGCGGCGCAUUAGCUGGUUGGCGGGGUAAC